rnacentral:rRNA from 1 species
UACGUAGGGGGCGAGCGUUACCCGGAUUUACUGGGCGUAAAGAGCGUGUAGGCGGCUGGCCAAGCGUGAUGUGAAAUCUUCGGGCUUAACCCGAAAACUGCAUUGCGAACUGGUCUGGCUAGAGUGUGUGAGAGGGUAGUGGAAUUCCCGGUGUAGCGGUGAAGUGCGUAGAUAUCGGGAGGAACACCAGUGGCGAAGGCGGCUACCUGGCACAUAACUGACGCUGAUACGCGAAAGCGUGGGGAGCGAACCGG